rnacentral:rRNA from 1 species
UGGGGAAUUUUGGACAAUGGGCGAAAGCCUGAUCCAGCAAUGCCGCGUGUGUGAAGAAGGCCUUCGGGUUGUAAAGCACUUUUGUCCGGAAAGAAAUCCUUGGCUCUAAUACAGUCGGGGGAUGACGGUACCGGAAGAAUAAGCACCGGCUAACUACGUGCCAGCAGCCGCGGUAAUACGUAGGGUGCAAGCGUUAAUCGGAAUUACUGGGCGUAAAGCGUGCGCAGGCGGUUUGCUAAGACCGAUGUGAAAUCCCCGGGCUCAACCUGGGAACUGCAUUGGUGACUGGCAGGCUAGAGUAUGGCAGAGGGGGGUAGAAUUCCACGUGUAGCAGUGAAAUGCGUAGAGAUGUGGAGGAAUACCGAUGGCGAAGGCAGCCCCCUGGGCCAAUACUGACGCUCAUGCACGAAAGCGUGGGGAGCAAACAGGAUUAGAUACCCUGGUAGUCCACGCCCUAAAACGAUGUCAACUAGUUGUUGGGGAUUCAUUCCUUAGUAACGUAGCUAACGCGUGAAGUUGACCGCCUGGGGAGUACGGUCGCAAGAUUAAAACUCAAAGGAAUUGACGGGGUCAUAGCUG